AAUUUGACAACAUUUUUUAAUGUGACCAAAGGUUUUUAGUAACAUUUUUAUUAAGUGUUAGACACAAAAACUGUUGUUAAAAGUCACAUGUAAUAGUGCGAAGCGUGGAAAUAAAAUUAAGUUGUCCACUAUUGGUUGGAUUAUGCAUCGACAUUGAGCUUCAACCCAAAGAGUAGUGAUUCUUGAGCAUCCAAAGAAAGUGUGUCAUGUCGUUUCUGGCUCCCUGUUACACAUUGGGCAAAUGAUGGGGCAUUGAACUCCUUUUGUAGAUAACCAGAGUCUAGUUAGGAGGCAAUCUCAAACCAAUCUCCAUAUGAAGAGCUUUAUUUUUUGAGGAAAAUGCAUAUCCCAAAUGAGCUUCUAGUCACCUUCCACACGUAAGUGAGAAAUCAAUAAUUCCAUGGCAUGAUAAUACGCAAACUUGAUGGUGUAAUCUUUGUCCUUGCUAUAAUUCCACACCAGUUUGUCUUCAUCCUCUACAAAAUGGAUUGGCAUGGAUAGAAUCUUGCAGCAUCACUCGAAUUGAAAUUAUGCUGAAUAUCAUCAUUGGGCCAAGUUUUAGUAGUAGGCUCAAUGAGUUCACAAACUCUAAGAUCUUCCAAACUAUCUCGGGUUGUCAGUAUCGCGUAACCAAGGAUCAUUCCAUGCAAUGAGGCUUUUACCAUUUCCCAAACGCCACCUAAUGCAUGCUUAACGACCACCUGUGAAGAAUAGAUGCUACGCCAAAUAAAGCUUGGGUUGUGGUCCAAAUUAGCUUCCAAAAGGUUCCCCUAAGCAAAGUAUUUAACUUUGAAGACUCUAGUUACAAUAGCAUCUUAGUCAGAUAGGAAUUUCCAACCUUGGUUCUCUGCAUGGCUGAGUUAAAGCCAUAAAGAUGACGAAAACCCAAAUCUCCAUGUUCUUUUUUCUAGGUUACGUGAUCCUAAUUAAACUAAUUUAUCUCUCUUCCAGAAUUCUUAUUUGGGCCCCACCAAAAAGAAUUUAGCAUGUUUUGAAUCUCAUCACCAAGGGAAUUAGGAAGCAAAAAGGUACUCAUGCAAUAGGAUGGGAUUGCCUGGGCCACUAAUCUUCUAUUAUAUAUAUACAAACAAGGCUCUGACAAUGCCAUCUGAGCCUUUUUUUUUGCCACGGGUCAUCUUGCCAACAAUCCACCUUCCUGCCCAAAAACGUCAUUGUCAAACAUUUAUUUUUUUUAUUUUAUUAAUUUAUUGCAUUUCUUCUGCUUCCCAUAAGAAAUGUCAAGCGCCCAUUUUUUUUUUACCAUUUUCCCGUUCUCACUCACCGUUUUCCAUUCUCAUUCUCUCUCUUCAUAACACUCUUUCUUUUUACACUUCACACCAAAUGUCUGCACUCUUUCUCUCUCUUAAUAACCCACUGCAAUGGAAGACAAUGCCUUGGUGUUGUUGUGUACCGGUUCCGUUUUCAUCACGUGAAGAAAAAAAUAGAUGUUCUUCCAUUUCGUGUUUGACGUUAGCUACGCUAGAGCUAGAACCUCAACAGGUUCGUGUUGCUUUUGUUCUGCCUUUGUUAUGUUUUCUAAGUUCCUCAGCCUUCAUCCUGUUUGUUUGCCUUGAAUUUACAGCUCAAAUCUAUAUCAUUGGGCUAUUUUCUUUAGUUUCAUGACCCUUCGACACACAAAGGCUUGAUUUUUUUUUUCCAUUGUUCUGCCUUUGUUUGGAUUUGUUAGUUCUGGCAGUACAAAAGAUUUUUUUUUUUUGUUCCUCACCCUUCUUGACUAAGGUUGAGCAUUGUUCUUGCUUUACAUUUAGUGUUUCUUUUGUUCUGCUUUUGUUUUGUGGCCUAUACCCACAUUUUUGUUACUUUUUUUAACUAUUUUACUUUUAAAGCCUUCGUCCUAUUAUCUUUUAGAACACAAAGGCUUUGUUAUUUUUUCAAUUGCUCUACCUUUUUUUUUAUUUGUUUGUUCUCGCAGUACAAAAGAUGAAAUUUUUUGUUGUUCCUCCUGCUUGGUCAAAUUCAAAUUUUUUGCCUUUCAUUUCUAUUGCAUGUUCAUCAUUUUGUGUGCUUCGCUUUUGUGCUUUUCCAAGACCUAAUUUUUUUGGUUUCUGGGGGUUUUUCCUGUGACGGUCGAAUGGUUCACAUAAGUUUCUCAUAUGUUCUUCCAUGUGUUCUUCGAUUGUCUGCUUUUUUUUGUGUGUUCCUCACCCUUCUUGACUGUGGUCCAACAUUUUGGGUUUCUUGGGGUUUUGCCGGUCAGAUUCGAAUGUUUCCCAUAUGUUUCCCCUAUUUUUGUUGCAUGUUCUUCUAUUCUUUGCUUUAACAUCUUUAACUUUUCUAUAUACUGACUGCACUUUUGCUAUUUUCUUGGCUGAGAACAACAAACAACAAACAAUCCGACAACGACAACUCUCAGAAACGGACGCCAUUCAUAGGUUACAACUUUAGUGAUGGAGAGGAACAGAAAGGAGAGUUCAGACGAAUGGAGAAGAACGAAAAUGGGAAACGGGACAACGGCGAGUCACUGAAUCGCAUCGAACAAAAAUGCCUAUUUUUAUCUUUUUUUGUGUUCCAUGUUUGGACUCAUUUCUUUACCGUGUUCAUCUUUGUAUUACUUACAAAAAAUGACGUUUAUUACUAUGAUUAAUUUUGAGGUUCACGAGUGAUCUUCAAUCUUCUCUAAUAUCUUUGUUCUUAUUACGGUAACGUAUCAACGUGUACAAAAUCCCUGAAGUAGAUAUUCUUGACAUUUGUGCUUAUACAGGUUAAAAAUAAAAAUAAAUUAUUUUUAA